rnacentral:rRNA from 1 species
GAUGAACGCUGGCGGCGUGCUUAACACAUGCAAGUCGAACGGUGAACGAGGGAGCUUGCUCCCUCCGGAUCAGUGGCGAACGGGUGAGUAACACGUGAGCAAUCUGCCCUGGACUCUGGGAUAAGCGUUGGAAACGACGUCUAAUACCGGAUACGAGACGCGAAGGCAUCUUCAGCGUCUGGAAAGGACUUCGGUCCAGGAUGAGCUCGUGGCCUAUCAGGUAGUUGGUGAGGUAACGGCUCACCAAGCCUACGACGGGUAGCCGGCCUGAGAGGGUGACCGGCCACACUGGGACUGAGACACGGCCCAGACUCCUACGGGAGGCAGCGGUGGGGAAUAUUGCACAAUGGGCGCAAGCCUGAUGCAGCGACGCCGCGUGAGGGACGACGGCCUUCGGGUUGUAAACCUCUUUUAGCAGGGAAGAAGCGAAAGUGACGGUACCUGCAGAAAAAGCACCGGCUAACUACGUGCCAGCCGCCGCGGUAAUAC